rnacentral:rRNA from 1 species
GACGAACGCUGGCGGCGUGCUUAACACAUGCAAGUCGAACGGAAAGGCCCUGCUUUUGUGGGGUGCUCGAGUGGCGAACGGGUGAGUAACACGUGAGUAACCUGCCCUUGACUUUGGGAUAACUUCAGGAAACUGGGGCUAAUACCGGAUAGGAGCUCCUGCUGCAUGGUGGGGGUUGGAAAGUUUCGGCGGUUGGGGAUGGACUCGCGGCUUAUCAGCUUGUUGGUGGGGUAGUGGCUUACCAAGGCUUUGACGGGUAGCCGGCCUGAGAGGGUGACCGGCCACAUUGGGACUGAGAUACGGCCCAGACUCCUACGGGAGGCAGCAGGCGGGAAUAUUGCACAAUGGGCGGAAGCCUGAUGCAGCAGCGCCGCGUGCGUGAUGACGGCCUUCGGGGUGUAAACCGCUUUCGCCUGUGACGAAGCGUGAUUGACGGUAAUGGGUAAAGAAGCACCGGCUAACUACGUG